rnacentral:lncRNA from 1 species
AGCUGCUGGCCUAUGUCACAGCCACAGCAACACCAGAUCCAAGCUGCAUCUGCAGUCUUCCCACAGCUUGUGGCAACACAGGAUCCUUAACCCACUGAGCAAAGCCAGAAAUUGAACCCGCCUCCUCAUAGAUACUAGUUGGGUUCUUAGCUUGCUAAGCCACAAUGGGAGCUCCUCAUCCCUAAUAUUAUUUAUUUGUUCUAUUUCUUAUCUAUUUGGCCAGAAAUGCAUUUGUCUUUUCAAAGACCAUCUUUUAAUUUCAUUUGGUUUCCUCUGUUGAGUAUUUGUUUUCUAUUUGAUUUUGACUCAAAAAAAAUUUUUUUUUGGCUAUAUCCAUGGCAUACAGAAAUUCCUAAGCCAGGGACUGAACCCACACCACAGCAGGGGCCUGGGCCCCUGCAGUGACAAUGCCGGAUCCUUAACUUACUGCACCACAAGGGAACUCUGAUUUUGGCUUUUAUUUUUAUUAUCCUCUUUUGGGGGGCCAGGGUGAGGACUUAUUCUGCUCUCCUUUUUCUAACUUCUUAGAAGCUUAGCUAAUUAAUUUCAGCCUUUCUUCUUUUCACACUGGCUUUUUUUUUUUUUUGAAUAGUUUUAUUGUAAUAAUGUAAUUUUUUCCCUAAAUGAAAACACAGUCAUUAUCAAAAUGCAAACACUUACACAUACAUAGAGGAGAAAAGUGGCAUUUGCUCUUGUUGUAUUCCUUUUCCAUAUUACUCCUCUCCCUAUGCAGAGAUAACCACUGUUAAUGAUUUGAUAUACUAUUUCCUUCCCAACCCAUUUCUGUGCAGUUAGCAACACAUGCAUGUGUGGGCACGUGUAUUUAUGCACAUUCACACUGGCAUUGAAAAAGCUGUAAAGUAUCUUCUUUGCCACUUUUACUGUAUUGCAUGAGUUUUGAUAUGUGAUAUUUGUAUUAUCAUUCAGUUCUAAAUAUUUAUCUUUCUUUGUCUUUUGGGGGCCUCACUGUGGCAAUAGGGAGGUUCCCAAGCUGGGGUCAAAUUGGAGCUGGAGCCGCUGGCCUACGCCACAGCCACAGUCACAUGGAAUCUGGGCUGCGUCUGCAACUUACACCACAGCUCAUGGCAACGCUGGAUCCUUAACCCAUGGAACAAGGCAGGGGGUCAAACCCACGUCCUCAUGGAUGCUAGUUGGGCUCGUUAACCACUGAGCCACAAUGGGAAUUCCAGUUCUAAAUAUUUAAAAAAAAUUUUUUUUCCAUUGCAAUUUUCUUUCUGACCCAGGGGCCAUUCAGAAAUGUCAAAUUUUAUGGUAAUUUUUAAACUGUCUUGGUUGUUGACAUCCAACUUAAUGACACUGUGGUCUGGGAAUGUGGUCUGCAUGACAUCACUUCUUUGAAAUUUGUGAAGACUUGCUUUGUGGUCUUGCAUGUGAUCAUUGUGGUGACUACUGCAUGUGUGCUUGAGAAGAAUGUGAUUUUUAUUUUAUUUCUUACUUUUUGGCCACCCCUGGGGCAUGCAGAAAUUCCCAGGCCAGGGAUCAAACCUAUGCCACAGCGGUGACCUGAGCCAUUGCUGUGACAACACUGAAUCUUUAACCUGCUGAGCCACCGGGGAACUCCAUUUUUUUAAAAGAAUGUGAUUUUAAAAUUAUUGGGUGCAGGGUUCUGUGUUCAUUAAAUCCAAUUUGGUUUUGAUCAGAUCUUCUACUACUAUAUUCAUUUUAGCUCGUGAAGUAGUAAUAACUUAGAGAGGCUUGUUGAAACCUUCCAUAAUGAUGGUGCCUUUCUCAAUUUCUCCAUGCAGUUCAAGCAAUUAUUUUUUUAUCUAUUGUUAGAUUUUUUUUUUGGUCUUUUUUGCCAUUUCUUGGGCUGCUCCCAUGGCAUAUGGAGGUUCCCAGGCUAGGGGGGUUGAAUUGGAGCUGUAGAUGCCAGCCUAUGCCAGAGCCACAGCAAUGCGGGUUCCAGCAGCAUCUGCAACCUAUACCACAGCUCAUGGCAAUGCCGGAUCCUUAACCCACUGAGCAAGGCCAGGGAUUGAACCCGCAACCUCAUGGUUCCUAGGCGGAUUCGUUAACCACUGAGCCACGAUGGGAAUUCCUACUGUUUAGAUUUUUAAGAUUAGUUUUAAUGUAAACUGGUAAAACUGCUAUGGAAAACAUUAUGGAGGUUCCUCAGAAAACUAAAUAAAGAAUUACCAUAUUUGAUCCAGCAAUCCCACUCCUGGGCAUGUAUCUGGACAAAGCUACAAUUCAAAAAGAUGCAUGCACCCCUAUGUUCACUGCAGCACUAUUCACAAUAGCCAAGAUAUGGAAACAACCUCAAUGCCCACUGACAGAUGAACAGAUUAAGAAGAUGUGGUA